rnacentral:rRNA from 1 species
AUUGAACGCUGGCGGCAGGCCUAACACAUGCAAGUCGAGCGGAUGAAGGGAGCUUGCUCCUGGAUUCAGCGGCGGUCGGGUGAGUAAUGCCUAGGAAUCUGCCUGGUAGUGGGGGAUAACGUCCGGAAACGGGCGCUAAUACCGCAUACGUCCUGAGGGAGAAAGUGGGGGAUCUUCGGACCUCACGCUAUCAGAUGAGCCUAGGUCGGAUUAGCUAGUUGGUGGGGUAAAGGCCUACCAAGGCGACGAUCCGUAACUGGUCUGAGAGGAUGAUCAGUCACACUGGAACUGAAACACGGUCCAGACUCCUACGGGAGGCAGCAGUGGGGAAUAUUGGACAAUGGGCGAAAGCCUGAUCCAGCCAUGCCGCGUGUGUGAAGAAGGUCUUCGGAUUGUAAAGCACUUUAAGUUGGGAGGAAGGGCAGUAAGUUAAUACCUUGCUGUUUUGACGUUACCAACAGAAUAAGCACCGGCUAACUUCGUG